AUUCAUUCAUUUUUUAAAUUAAAGUGUAUGUAUGCUUGUCAAGUUUGUUUACGUGAGAAUAUGAUAUUUAAUUUUACUUCAAUAAUAUCUUCUACCAAUUUUUUUUUAUUUUUGAUGUACCCUAUGACUAUUUGAAAUAAGAUACAAGAUAUGUGUCACAUUUAUUAGGUAACAAUAGAAAUUUGGAAUCUAGUUAUUGAGUAUCAAAUUUAUCAGUACUUAUUGAAAAAAUUAGUUCAUCAAAAUGAAUAUUUCAAUGGUUGCAAUCGUGU
rnacentral:lncRNA from 1 species